rnacentral:tRNA from 1 species
CCGGUGCGGAGUUUCGGGCUGAAGAAGGUGCUCUUCGGCGGCAUCAGCAGGCCCUCGUCGGCGGUGCGGCGGAUCUCGGCCACGCUCACCGGGC